AUUGAACGCUGGCGGCAGGCCUAACACAUGCAAGUCGAGCGAGCGGCGGACGGGUGCGUAAUGUCUGGGAAACUGCCUGCUGGAGGGGGCUAACUACUGGAAACGGUAGCUAAUACCGCAUACCAUCAGAUGUGCCCAGAUGGGAGUAGCUAGUAGGUGGGGUACCGGCUCAACUAGGCGGCGCUCCCUAGCUGGUCUGAGAGGAUGACCAGCCACACUGGAACUGAGACACGGUCCAGACUCCUACGUGAGGCAGCAGUGGGGAAGAGUGCACAAUGGGCGCAAGCCGGAUGCAGCCAUGCCGCGUGUGUGAAGAAGGACUUCGGGUUGUAAAGCACUUUCAGCGGGGAGGCGUUACCCGCAGAAGAAGCACCGGCUAACUCCGUGCCAGCAGCCGCGGUAAUUC
rnacentral:rRNA from 1 species